AUGACUUAAGGAAGAAUGGCUUUAAGAAAUGACUCUUCAGUGACAGGAUUCAUCCUGCUGGGCUUGACACAGCAGCCAGAGCUCCAGCUGCCCCUCUUCUUCCUCUUCUUGGGAAUCUAUGUGGUCUCCAUGGUGGGGAACCUGGGCUUGAUUGUCCUGAUUGUGUUGAAUCCUCACCUGCACACCCCCAUGUACUACUUUCUCUUCAACCUUUCCUUUGUUGAUUUCUGCUACUCCUCUGUCAUAACUCCCAAAAUGCUGGUAAGUUUUGUGACACAGAACAUCAUCUCUCAUGCUGAGUGCAUGACUCAGCUCUUUUUCUUUGCAUUCUUUGUUAUUGAUGAAUGCUACAUUUUGACAGCAAUGGCCUAUGACAGAUAUGCUGCCAUCUGUAAGCCCCUGCUUUACCAGGUCACCAUGUCUCAUCAAGUCUGCCACUUCAUGAUGAUGGGUGUGCUUGUGAUGGGGUCUGUGGGUGCUGUGGCACAUAUCAUUUGCAUGCUGAGACUGACCUUCUGUGAUGGCAAUAUCAUCAAUCACUACAUGUGUGAUAUACCUCCCCUUCUGAAGCUCUCUUGCACAAGCACUUCCAUCAAUGAGCUGGUGGUUUUCAUUGUUGUGGGUUUUAAUGUAACAGUGCCCAUUUUGACUAUUUUUAUUUCUUAUGCCUUGAUUCUUUCCAAUAUUCUCAGCAUCCAUUCUGCAGAGGGUAGGUCAAAAGCCUUUAGUACCUGUGGCUCCCAUGUGAUAGCUGUUUCUAUUUUCUUUGGAUCCUUAGCAUUCAUGUAUCUUAAGCCUUCUAGUGCAUCUGUGGAUGAUGAUAAAAUAUCUACCAUCUUUUAUACCAUUGUGGGCCCAAUGUUGAAUCCUUUCAUCUACAGUUUAAGGAAUAAGGAUGUCCAUGUUGCAAUACGAAAAACUUUGAACAAAGGUAUGUUUGCCUAA